GGAUAGCUUCUCCCGACUCUUCACUCCAGUUGACAGCCACACUCGGGGAAACGCAGGUGUCGCUGUGGUCUGGCGCCUCAACACUCGUGAUGGGAAAAUCAACAGUGGCGUUCGCCCUUUCAACGAGGCAGUCGGUCCUACAUUUCAUUUGGUUGGACAACGCGGCGUAGGAAAAGAGAUACAAUUUUUCAUGGCUGCUCACGCUGAACAGGAGCGACAACAUAGCAAGCCACAAAUCUAAUGCCUCCAGCCGUCAGCACUUUUUUUAUUUAUUCCUAAUCAUAAGGAAUAAAUAUGUAAACAUGAUGCCGA
rnacentral:lncRNA from 1 species